rnacentral:tRNA from 1 species
GCCGAAGUGGUGGAAUUGGUAGACACGCCGUCUUGAGGGGCCGGUGGCGUAAAGCUGUGCCGGUUCGAGUCCGGCCUUCGGCACCA